ACCGGCCAGAUGCAAUUUCCGUAAUAUUAUAAUAGAUAGCACUAAUAUUAAUUUUCAUAUCAAGCUUCCACAUGGACAUGAGUGUUUACCUCGCAGAGGAAGAUUGAGUCGCGACGUGUUUUGUUUCAGUGGACUGAUUUGUUCAUUACGUGACGUUUGUUCAAAACACAAGUAAAGUUCAGAGGGUGAUUACUGCGAUUAGAGAACGAGUUCACUAAUUAUUUUAGCUUGGUGCUUAAAGAUGUCUGGUGAUGAGAAUAAUGAUAAGAGAUUGAAGAAGAAAGGUACUUGGCAUCCUGAGAAUAUGCAUAAAGCAGUGCAAAAGGUGUUGAAUAAAGAAAUAAGUGCACGUCAGGCAGCUGAUCGCUAUCGGGUACCAAGGACUACCUUAAAUGAUAGAGUAAAUGCUGUUAAAAAUAACAAAGAGAUAUAUAUGAAGCCGGUUAUGGGUCACUUUCAUAAAACUUUUUCAUCUGAACAUGAAGAAAUAUUAGCUGAACAUAUUAAAGACUUGGCAAAUAGAUUAAUGCCUUUAAAUAAACAGGAAUUUCUUCACCUUGCUUUCCAAAUUGCUGAAAAGUUGAAAUUACCAGUCAUUUUCAUUAGUCGGCAAGAAAAGCAAAAAAUCCAGAAAUGAUAAAGAAAACCAAUACCGUCCACACAAUCAAUCUACUCAGGAACUGACAACUUGUCCUUUGUGCCUAGAAACUCACGAGGAAGAUUGGAUACAAUAUGGAAAUUGUAAGAUCUGGGUCCACGAAGCUUGUGCAAAUAUAUCAGAGCUGUUAAACCAAUAUAUUUGUGACUUUUGCCAUGUAUAACUAUACAUAUUUUUAUUGGCCGGUACUGGAGGACAGUUUUAUAACAGUUGAUUUUUUAAUGUCUUAAAAUAUAAUUAAUAAAGUUACUAUUUUUAAAAUAUCUCAAUA